rnacentral:miRNA from 12 species
GUUAAGGGCACAUCGUUCGAGC